rnacentral:tRNA from 1 species
GGAACGUGGCGCAGCCCGGUAGCGUACUUGAAUGGGGUUCAAGGGGUCGCGGGUUAUCCCGCCGUUUCGA